rnacentral:misc_RNA from 1 species
CGCACAUUGCGCCCUUUGGUAUUCCGAAGGGCAUGCCUGUUCGAGCGUCAUUAUAACCAAUCAAGCCUAGCUUGGUGUUGGAGCCCGCUAUGCGGCGGUUCUUAAAAGCAGUGGCAGCGCCGCUGGGCUCUAAGCGUAGUAAAUUUUCUCGCUAUAGGGUUCUUGUAGUGGCUCGCCAUAACCCCCUCAUUUUUUAAGGUUGACCUCGGAUCAGGUAGGGAUACCCGCUGAACUUAA